GACGAACGCUGGCGGCGUGCUUAACACAUGCAAGUCGAGCGGUAAGGCCUUUCGGGGUACACGAGCGGCGAACGGGUGAGUAACACGUGGGUGAUCUGCCCUGCACUUCGGGAUAAGCCUGGGAAACUGGGUCUAAUACCGGAUAUGACCUCCUAUCGCAUGGUGGGUGGUGGAAAGAUUUAUCGGUGCAGGAUGGGCCCGCGGCCUAUCAGCUUGUUGGUGGGGUAAUGGCCUACCAAGGCGACGACGGGUGGCCGACCUGAGAGGGUGACCGGCCACACUGGGACUGAGACACGGCCCAGACUCCUACGGGAGGCAGCAGUGGGGAAUAUUGCACAAUGGGCGAAAGCCUGAUGCAGCGACGCCGCGUGAGGGAUGACGGCCUUCGGGUUGUAAACCUCUUUCAGCAGGGACGAAGCGCAAGUGACGGUACCUGCAGAAGAAGCACCGGCUAACUACGUG
rnacentral:rRNA from 1 species